GAUGAAGAACGCAGCGAAAUGCGAUAAGUAAUGUGAAUUGCAGAAUUCAGUGAAUCAUCGAAUCUUUGAACGCACCUUGCGCUCCUUGGUAUUCCGAGGAGCAUGCCUGUUUGAGUGUCAUUAAUAUAUCAACCUCUUCAGCUUAUCCUUGUUGAGUGUUGGAUGGUGGGGGUUUGCUGGUGUCUUAUGAAGUCAGCUCCUCUGAAAUGCAUUAGCGGAACAAUUUGUUGACCGUUCAUUGGUGUGAUAAAAAUAUCUACGCUAUUGACGUCAGUCAGUUCAGCUUCUAACAGUCCAUUGACUUGGACAAAUUUUUCAUUAAUGUGACCUCAAAUCAGGUAGGACUACCCGCUGAACUUAAGCAUAUCAAUAAGCGGAGGA
rnacentral:misc_RNA from 1 species